rnacentral:tRNA from 1 species
GGCCUCAUCGUCUAGUGGUUAGGACGCCAGGUUUUCAUCCUGGUAACAGGGGUUCAAUUCCCCUUGAGGCUACCA